ACUCCUACGGGAGGCAGCAGUGGGGAAUCUUGGACAAUGGGGGCAACCCUGAUCCAGCCAUGCCGCGUGAGUGAUGAAGGCCUUAGGGUCGUAAAGCUCUUUCGCCAGGGAUGAUAAUGACAGUACCUGGUAAAGAAACCCCGGCUAACUCCGUGCCAGCAGCCGCGGUAAUACGGAGGGGGUUAGCGUUGUUCGGAAUUACUGGGGCGUAAAGCGCGCGUAGGCGGACCAGAAAGUUGGGGUGAAAUCCCGGGGCUCAACCCCGGAACUGCCUCCAAAACUCCUGGUCUAGAGUUCGAGAGAGGUGAGUGGAAUUCCGAGUGUAGAGGUGAAAUUCGUAGAUAUUCGGAGGAACACCAGUGGCGAAGGCGGCUCACUGGCUCGAUACUGACGCUGAGGUGCGAAAGUGUGGGGAGCAAACAGGAUUAGAUACCCUGGUAGGAUAGCG
rnacentral:rRNA from 1 species